AUUGAACGCUGGCGGCAUGCCUUACACAUGCAAGUCGAACGGCAGCACGGGUGCUUGCCCCUGGUGGCGAGUGGCGAACGGGUGAGUAAUACAUCGGAACAUGUCCUGUAGUGGGGGAUAGCCCGGCGAAAGCCGGAUUAAUACCGCAUACGAUCCACGGAUGAAAGCGGGGGACCUUCGGGCCUCGCGCUAUAGGGUUGGCCGAUGGCUGAUUAGCUAGUUGGUGGGGUAAAGGCCUACCAAGGCGACGAUCAGUAGCUGGUCUGAGAGGACGACCAGCCACACUGGGACUGAGACACGGCCCAGACUCCUACGGGAGGCAGCAGUGGGGAAUUUUGGACAAUGAGCGAAAGCCUGAUCCAGCAAUGCCGCGUGUGUGAAGAAGGCCUUCGGGUUGUAAAGCACUUUUGUCCGGAAAGAAAUCCUUGGCUCUAAUACAGUCGGGGGAUGACGGUACCGGAAGAAUAAGCACCGGCUAACUACGUG
rnacentral:rRNA from 1 species